rnacentral:rRNA from 1 species
GAGGAUGCAGGCGUUAUCCGGAUUUAUUAGGUUUAAAGGGUGUUCAGACUGUCUGGUAAGUCAGAGGUGAAAGUCGGUUGCUUAACGAUCGAAUUGCCUUUGAAACUGUCAGACUUGAGUAUGGAUGCGGUAGGCGGAAUGUGUAGUGUAGCGGUGAAAUGCAUAGAUAUUACACAGAACACCGAUUGCGAAAGCAGCUUACCAAACCAGCACUGACGCUGAAGCACGAAAGCGUGGGUAGCGAACAGGAUUAGAUACCCUGGUAGUUCACGCAGUAAACGAUGCUCACUCGCUGUUGGCAAUAGAUCGUCAGCGGCUAAGGGAAACCGAUAAGUGAGCCACCUGGGGAGUACGAUCGCAAGACUGAAACUCAAAGGAAUUGACGGGGGCCCGCACAAGCGGUGGAACAUGUGGUUUAAUUCGAUGAUACGCGAGGAACCUUACCUGGGCUUAAAUGUACGACGCAUAAGUGUGAAAGCACUUUUUCCUUCGGGACUUUGUACAAGGUGCCGCAUGGUUGUCGUCAGCUCGUGCCGUGAGGUGUCGGGUUAAGUCCCAUAACGAGCGCAACCCCUAUUGUUAGUUACCAGCGCGUAAAGGCGGGGACUCUAGCGAAACUGCCGGUGUAAACCGCGAGGAAGGUGGGGAUGACGUCAAAUCAGCACGGCCCUUAUGUCCAGGGCUACACACGUGUUACAAUGGCCGGUACAGCGGGCAGCGAGGCAGCGAUGCCGAGCGAAUCUCGAAAGCCGGUCCCAGUUCGGAUUGGAGUCUGCAACCCGACUCCAUGAAGGUGGAAUCGCUAGUAAUCGCGCAUCAGCCAUGGCGCGGUGAAUACGUUCCCGGGCACUUGUACACACCGCCCGUCAAGCCAUGGAAGUCUGGGGUGCCUGAAGGCCGUAACCGCGAGGAGCGGUCUAGGGUAAACAGAUGACUGGG